CCCGACUGUAUGCUCACACAAAUGGCGCUUAUAGAUCCAUGCAACUGAUAUCAGUGUGGGGUAAGCAAAAUCAAUAAAGCUAGUGUAGAGUUAGCAAAAUCAAUAAAGCUUGAGUUUUAUAAGUUCCUACAGCUGUGACACCUAUGGCAGACAGUCUGCUUGGAAUGUUUGCUGUAAUAUAUUGAGUUGUUAGUCACCGCAUCGCAAGAAUAUUAUUCUACAACCAGCAGAUCUCUUAGUUGUUAUAACUUAAACUUGUAUCGCUAUAGUACUCACUGAUCAAACACACAGUCUGUUCACUGUUAUCUAUCUACCUUGGCGAGUGGAUCGAGCUGAUGGGUGUCCAGUUGAAGGAAACUGGGGCCUUGUGUUGUAUGUCAUUGUUGGUGCCACGAUAACUACGCAGUCAUGCUGUUUUACCCAGCAAAACAAACAUGGAAACUGGUCGUUUUUGUGUUUGUUAAUCUCCAGUUCACACCAGGUCUUCAACAAUCACUGAACAUCACCAGCACAGCACCCUCAGCUUAUGCAGAGGACUGUCCUGACUUUGAAUUGCUAGUUCAGAUUCACUGUGGAGUUCCAGCGGAACGCGACUGCAUACUGAAGCGCUGGGUAUGUGAUGGCUAUCCAGAUUGUCCUCAGGAAAAUGAUGAAAGUCCUGCCACGUGUCAGAACACUGACCCUUGUGUGCCACAACCAUGUCAGAAUGGAGGUGUUUGCUAUGGAUUUCCAGCAAUGGAGAAUAUUUCGGUUGCUUACUUCAUCUGCAAGUGCCCUGAGCAUUUAACAGGCAUCACUUGCAGUGUUUUUAUUCCCACCACCACUGUUGCUUACUCCCCAGUGACGUCUGCUACCCCAAGUCCUAAUACCACCCUGUCAGGAUCUGCGCAGACAACAACUACAUUAAUAGUAAAUACAACGGCCAACAGCUCAACCACAGAUGACUUGACUGGAUGUGACUCAAAGCCAUGCAUGCAGGGUGCCUGUUCAGCACUGCGAGGAGGGGCCUAUUACUGCAGUUGCAUUCCAGGGUAUGGUGGUGUAAACUGUGAGAUAGUGACUCAGCCAUGUCUUUCCCAACCCUGUUUGAAUGGGGGUUUGUGCCAGGAAAACAGUACUACCUACGGAUGUGUGUGCCCUGCAGGUUUUACUGGUUUGCACUGUGAAAACAAGAUCCUGGCCUGCGAUAGUUCUCCAUGUCUUAAUGGUGCUACCUGUCAAAAUACACCAGUGGGUUUUUUGUGCACCUGUCAGAAAGGCUAUGAAGGGCUACGCUGUGAGAGUCAGACAAAUCUGUGCACUUCAAUGCCGUGUUUGUUUAACAGCACUUGCAUCCCAGGGCUGAACUCUUUUAAGUGUUUGUGCCAGCCAGGUUAUGCAGGAGAGUUUUGUGAACGUUUGCAAAUGUGUCAUGAUGGUGACCCUUGCCAAAACUUUGGGAUUUGCAUACCAGCUUUCCUAUCAUUGCUACAGCCAAGCUGUGCCUGUCUCGAUGGAUUUACUGGCAGCUGGUGUCAAAUCAAUGUGGAUGAAUGUGCCAAUAACCCAUGUGGCACUCAUGGCACAUGCAUAGACAGCAUCAACAGCUACACAUGUAACUGCAACCCUGGUUAUGUUGGAACCAACUGUGACAGAUCUAUGGAUCAAGAUCCUUGUGUACCCCAGCCAUGUCAAAAUGGUGGCUAUUGCUGUUCACGUGGAAAGCAAGGCUGUCCUGUCAAUAUGGUUGAAGGACAGUACCAGUGCUUCUGCUAUAAUGGAUAUACAGGUAGUCACUGUGAACAGUCAGUUGGAGCAUGCAUGACCAGACCUUGUCAAAAUGGAGGAGUGUGCACAUUAUCUGACUCUUCUUACCACUGCACAUGUCCACUGACCUUUACUGGGGUCAACUGCACACUGCCUAUACCCUGCGCUAGUGGGCCAUGUUUCAAUGGUGCAACAUGCAAGGAGGUUAACGAAAGUUACAUCUGUGAAUGUGGAGCUACAGCUUAUGGAGUUAACUGCCAGUUUUCACAGAGAUGUUCAAGUGAUUUUUGUUCCAAUGGAGGCAUCUGCAGGGAGACAGAAAAAGGAACAGUUUGUGAGUGUCCCCCACAGUUUACCGGCUCUCAUUGCGAAAAUCUUUGGCCUUGCAUCUCCACUCCUUGCCAGAAUGGGGGAUCUUGUAAAAACAUCUCUGUGACAGAAUUCCAGUGUCAGUGUAGGGAUGGUUUCACAGGACGUGUCUGUGAGACUGAGCUCCCUUGUCAGAGUGGACCCUGUUUGAAUGGUGGUGCAUGUGAAAAUACUGCCAGUGGCUUUGUGUGUCACUGCUUAAACAACUUUACUGGCCCCACCUGUGCCUUGCCUCCACUGUGCGCCAGUGAGCCCUGCUUGAAUGGAGGUUCAUGUGCAGAAGCUACAGGUAUUUUCCACUGCACUUGCCAGCUAGGAUUUCAGGGUGUACAAUGUGAGACCUUUCUUCCGUGCAUUAGCAGCCCUUGUGAGUUCAACUCGUCAUGCGUCAAUAUAGAUAAUACCACCUUUCACUGUCAGUGUCCCAACGGGAUCACUGGGAGCAGAUGUGAGACAAUUUUGCCAUGCAGAAGUAAUCCAUGUCUUAAUGGGGGACAGUGUACAAACCUUGACUCGAGCUACAACUGCAACUGUACCAGUGAAUUUAUAGGUGACAACUGUGAGCAAGUAUCACCUUGCCAUAAUUCCUCUUGCCUUAAUGGAGGGACAUGUGUUGUGAAUGGCAGUUCUUACACCUGUCUCUGUCCCAGAUUCUACUCUGGAGACCUCUGUGCUGAAUACAAUCCCUGCAAUAUUCUUCCUUGUCAGAAUGGAGGUAUAUGUCACAUCAAUGGAAGUCAGUUUUACUGCACGUGUCCUCAAGGUUACACAGGUACACUGUGUGAAACCUUCUCUCCGGUUUGCCAGAAUCAGCCAUGUCUUAACAAUGGCACUUGUCAGCCAAGCGGUGAUUCCUUUAUGUGCCUUUGCCCGCUGACAAGUGUUGGUGAUCGCUGCCAAAUCAGCUUCCCGUGUGGUAAUUCUCCAUGUCAAAAUAAUGGCGUGUGCAGAAACACUAAUGAAACAUACACCUGCCAGUGCCCUUCCCAUUACACUGGCAGAAACUGUGAAAUACCUUUGCCAUGCACAUCUGGACCAUGCGUGAAUGGUACCUGCAUAGAUGGUGCAGAUGGAGACUAUAGCUGUGAAUGUGUGCCCAAUUACUCAGGGAAGAAUUGUGAUGUGCAGGUACUUACCUGCAGUAAAGCUUUAUGUAUCAAUGGUGAUUGCAUCAUGCAAGAUGGAAUUAUGCAGUGUGUCUGUGAUAGUGGAUUCACAGGCACCAACUGUGGAAUACAGUCAACAGCAUGCCUGUCUCAUCCUUGCCUUAAUGGAGGAACCUGUCAUAAUGUGGGCUCUACCUUCGUCUGUGCCUGCCCUGCCAAUUACACAGGUGUACAGUGUGAGUCUGGUCUUCCACCAUGCUAUUUUGAACCUUGCCAGAAUGGCGCUCGCUGCAUAGAUCAGAGUGACACACAUUACAUCUGUUUUUGUCCUCCGGGCUUUAAGAGUGCCACAUGUGACACUGAAACAACAGCCUGUGACAGUUCUCCUUGUCUCAAUGGUGGGACAUGCCAGUUAUCUGGAAAUGGGUUUAUCUGUACCUGCCCUUCAGAAUAUGGAGGGGAGAUGUGUGAAUACAACCGUGGGUCAUGCUCUUCUGAGCCAUGUCAAAACCAUGGUACCUGUCUUAUGGCUGGCAGUGGUUACAUUUGUGUCUGUCAACCACCCUAUACAGGACAUGUAUGUGAGGCCAGUGUGGUCAGCUGCGGGAAUGGUUUUAACAGCCCAUGUGUUGGUCCUGGUGAAUGUUACACGGAUGAAGCUGGUGCUUACUGUGAGUGUGCUACUGGUUACAGUGGAAUCUUCUGCCAGAUUAAAGAUGGGCGAAUACUGCAGUGAUGCUGCACAGAGCUGUGAAGGUAAUUACUGUAAUGGAGGUUUCUGUCGUGAGAAUUUCGACAACACUUUUUCAUGUCUCUGUCCACCUGGCACAAGUGGUCCACACUGCAACAUCACCUUUGGAUCUGGGAUUUGAAGACAAUGUGGAAACCAGUCAUCCCAUUACAGACUUUGGCUGUAAAGAACUUCUCCUAGGCCGUUAUGCAAAGACAUCAAAAACCAAAAUGUAACGUCAGAUGUUCUAGGAUUUUCUAAGAUGUGUUUUGUAAGAAUGACAUAUCUGUCUUGUGACCUGUUGGGAAGCUCAAUGUUGUUGAUUUAUCUGUUAAAUUUUAAAUCUUGUCAACUUGUCAUAUGGGAGGAUCACGUGUUUCUGAAUGCUCUGGUAUGAUUUCAUAAUAGUUGUACUUUAUGUUGUACUGUUCCCCUCUCCACUUAUGACCUCUACCCUUUUUCUGUGAGUGUGUGUGUUUUAAACAGAGCCUUAAAUCUUUAGCAGAUAAUUUUUUCAUUGUUAAUACAGAAUCUAGAAUAAAAUAGUUUUUAUAAAGUACCUUUUAACUUAUUUAAAAUUUUAUUGUAGCAUCACUCAGAGAGAGAGAGAGAGAAAAAGAGAAGUUAGUUUCUAAUUUUCGCUGUACUCUUAUAAUCUACAAAUAGGCAAUAAAUGGUUUCUAAAUAGUUUAAGCAAUAAAAUUUGGCACAGGCAGUGUGCAUUAGAUUAAAAUGAAACACCAAAGAAAGGCUAAAGACAUUUUCUAAGUUUAUUUUUCAAUGGAUCACCAACGCAACUUUCCACAACCAGGAACACAGAAUCCACACAAUUUAAGGUUUGAAGUUGGUGUCUCCAUACCUUAACAGUAACCAAACAUAAUCUAUCAAAACAAACCAAAAACAAUAAAACCAGACCCCCAGAAAGAAACUUGCUUCAUAGGUUGUGAUUAACUUUUGAAAGUUUACAAAAGAGGGAAAGGGAAACUACACAUAAUCUUUAACCAGUCUAAAAUUAACAUGCCUGCUUGGGUCAAACAAACAAAAACUGAUUUAAAAAGAUUCAAAUCAUCAUAAUUUAUAGGAAUCACACAGAUAAAGUACACAAAAUGAAACUAACAUGAUUUUGAAGGUGAUGGAGUUGAGGACCAAAAGAAUAAGAAGACAUACAGAUAUGUGAAAAAUUCUCCUGCCAGCUGACUGUUGGCAGACAUUAUGAGACAGAAAAUGAGAGCCAGCUUGGCUGUUUUAUCUGUCCUGAUGUAUAAAAUGACAAACCACUCAAUGGUUUGAAAAGAUCAUCCAUUUUUGAUAAGAAAAGGGAUUAAUGUUAUG
rnacentral:misc_RNA from 1 species